rnacentral:lncRNA from 1 species
CAUUCAGGAUGUCAUCUUGAAAGCAGAGACCAAGGUCUUCACCAGAGACAGUCUGCCAAUGGCUUGAUUUUGCACUUCCCAGCCUAUAUAACUAUGUACUGGUUCAUGAAGAUGUGCUUAUGGGUUUCUACUCUAAUGAGGUUUAUAUAACUUUCCAAGACAAGGAAGUUGUGCAAAGCCUCACAGCUACUAAGAGGCUGGGCUGGGACUCAGGAUUAACUUCGUGACUCCAAAGCCCAUGCACCUCUGCAAGCCACACGAAUCAAGCAGCUUCUCUAAACCUUUGAAGUCCUGGAAAGUAACUCUUCUGCAAUAGAAGCAAGAAUCCUGUGAGAUUGGGAUCCAUCUAGUACUCUUCACCAUUUGGAACAACUGCCUCCAGAGAAUGCUUCUGACGCAUCUUGGAAGAACUUGGAAUAACCUGAGGAAAUGGUCGAUUUGCUAAUUUAGGAAACCAAUGUUCGAUACGUGUGUGAUCCCAAUAAAGCUAUUAACAAAAAACGGCUCACGUAGGCCGGGCGCAGUGGCUCACGCCUGUAAUCCCAGCACUUUGGGAGGCCGAGGCGGGCAGAUCACAAGGUCAGGAGAUCGAGACCAUCCUGGCUAACACGGUGAAACCCCAUCUCUACUAAAAAUACAAAAAGUAGCCGGGCGUGGUGGUGGAUGCCUGCGGUCCCAGCUACUCAGGAGGCUGAGGCAGGAGAAUGGCAUGAACCCGGGAGGCGGAGAUUGCAGUGAGCCGAGAUCGCGCCACUGUACUCCAGCCUGCGUGACAGAGCGAGACUCCGUCUCAGAAAAAAAAAAAAAGAACAUAAUAUGUGUAUUGUGUCUCAUGUACACUGUUGAAGAGGUAGCAGCCCAUGAUUGAUGAAAUAGUCCAGUGAUCUUAUGAGAUACAAGUUUGUUUUCAUGUUCUCUCUCUGACAUUGUCUAUGCUUAGUUAUUGUGUUCAUGCUUAUUCCUUCAUGGUCCAAGUUGGCUGUCCCACCUCCAGGCAUCAAACCACAUUCCAAACAGCAACCAGGAGGAAAUAGUAAGCUGAUAGGUCAUGGGGAAUUAGGUUGGAAGCCAUUGCUUUUUAAUUUACAGAAGUCCAUUCUCCCCAGGCACUUCUUUCUAAGUCUCAUUGAUCAGAACUCAACCACGUGGCCACCAUCAGCAGAAACAUCUCUCUGUAGCACCGUGAAACACAUGAGAACAUAACUGGGGAUGACCGUUGUUACUUGAACUAUUUUGAAAGAUCUGACAUAAAGGUCAUCGCCUUGUGCACUUCAAUGGGUGUUACUGCAAAACUCCCAGGGCUAGGCAUGGCGACAUACACCCGAAAUCUCAGCUAUCUGGGAGGCUGAGGUGGGAGGAUUGCUUGAGCCCACGAGUUUGAGGCUGAAGUGUGCCUGUGAAUAGCUACUGCACUCCAGUGCCUAGGACACAUAGGGAGACCUCACUUUUUUAUGGCUGCAUAGUAUUCCAUGGUAAAGAAAUGUACCACAUUUUCUUUAUCCACUUCACUGUUGAUGGGCAUUUAUCCACUUCACUGUUGGUGGGAAUUUAGGUUGAAUCCAUGUCUUUGCUAUUGAAGUCACACUUUUUAAUCAAGUUAUUUAACUUUCCUGUGUUCAUUUGUGUUAUAUACCAGAACAUUUUUAUUUCUAUGGUUUUAAUGCCACCUAAUAUGAUUAUCAAUGUGUCAUUCUCCAUAAAUCAUUGUGUUAUACAUGUUAAACGAUUAGGUAUUAAGUGUAUAGGUAUAAAUCACUUAGAAUAAUGACUAACACAUUGUAUGAACUAAAUAAGUACUGAUUCAUCUGAUUCAUCAAAUUUCCAUUAUUCAUACCAUUCAUUAUUUAUUAAGUGGUGUAGUAUUUGUUCUUAUCAACAUUUGCUUUUCUGUCCUAUCUAAAUAUUAAUGAAACAGUGGAUGUGGGCUCAGUGUGCUGUCUUGAAAUAAUCCAAAGUCAAAUGGCAUGCUUCACUGGUUUCCUUUAGAUGCAAUAACUCAUUUGACUCACACAAUAAAAAUGAGUAUUAAGU